rnacentral:rRNA from 1 species
AAUCAACGCUGGCGGCGUGCCUCAGACAUGCAAGUCGAACGAUUAAAGCUCUCUUCGGAGAGUGCAUAGAGUGGCGCACGGGUGAGUAACACGUAAGUAAUCUACCUUCGAGUGGGGAAUAACGUCCGGAAACGGACGCUAAUACCGCAUAAUGCAGCGGCAUCGUAAGAUGACAGUUGUUAAAGAUUUAUCGCUUGAAGAGGAGCUUGCGGCAGAUUAGCUAGUUGGUAAGGUAAUGGCUUACCAAGGCUACGAUCUGUAACCGGUCUUAGAGGACGGUCGGUCACACUGACACUGAAUAACGGGUCAGACUCCUACGGGAGGCAGCAGUCGGGAAUUUUGGGCAAUGGGCGAAAGCCUGACCCAGCAACGCCGCGUGAAGGAUGAAGUAUUUCGGUAUGUAAACUUCGAAAGAAUAGGAAGAAUAAAUGACGGUACUAUUUAUAAGGUCCGGCUAACUACGUGCCAGCAGCCG